AUUGAACGCUGGCGGCGUGCUUAACACAUGCAAGUCGAGCGGUAACAGGUGUAGCAAUACAUGCUGACGAGCGGCGAACGGGUGAGUAAUGCUUCGGAAUCUUCCUAGUAGUGGGGAAUAACCUGGGGAAACUCAGGCUAAUACCGCAUACGAACUACGGUUGAAAGCAGGGGAUCGCAAGACCUUGCGCUAUUAGAUGAGCCGAAGUCGGAUUAGCUAGUUGGUGAGGUAACGGCUCACCAAGGCGACGAUCCGUAGCUGGUCUGAGAGGACGACCAGCCAGACUGGGACUGAGACACGGCCCAGACUCCUACGGGAGGCAGCAGUGGGGAAUAUUGGACAAUGGGGGCAACCCUGAUCCAGCGACGCCGCGUGUGUGAAGAAGGCCUGCGGGUUGUAAAGCACUUUUAGUGGGGACAAAAAGCCGAGGGCUAAUACUCUUCGGUCUUGAUUUAACCCAAAGAAAAAGCACCGGCUAACUCUGUGCCAGCAGCCGCGGUAACAC
rnacentral:rRNA from 1 species